rnacentral:rRNA from 1 species
UUGAACGCUGGCGGCAUGCCUUACACAUGCAAGUCGAACGGCAGCACGGGGGCAACCCUGGUGGCGAGUGGCGAACGGGUGAGUAAUGCAUCGGAACGUGUCCUCUUGUGGGGGAUAACCAGUCGAAAGAUUGGCUAAUACCGCAUGAGAUCGAGAGAUGAAAGCGGGGGACCGCAAGGCCUCGCGCGAGAGGAGCGGCCGAUGCCGGAUUAGCUAGUUGGUGGGGUAAGAGCCCACCAAGGCGACGAUCCGUAGCUGGUCUGAGAGGACGACCAGCCACACUGGGACUGAGACACGGCCCAGACUCCUACGGGAGGCAGCAGUGGGGAAUUUUGGACAAUGGGCGCAAGCCUGAUCCAGCCAUGCCGCGUGUGUGAAGAAGGCCUUCGGGUUGUAAAGCACUUUCGGACGGAACGAAAUCGCGCGGGUUAACAGCGCGCGUGGAUGACGGUACCGUAAGAAGAAGCACCGGCUAACUACGU